rnacentral:rRNA from 1 species
AUUGAACGCUGGCGGCAUGCCUUACACAUGCAAGUCGAACGGCAGCACGGGUGCUUGCACCUGGUGGCGAGUGGCGAACGGGUGAGUAAUACAUCGGAACGUACCUUAUCGUGGGGGAUAACGCAGCGAAAGCUGUGCUAAUACCGCAUACGCCCUGAGGGGGAAAGCGGGGGAUCGCAAGACCUCGCGCGAUUAGAGCGGCCGAUGCCUGAUUAGCUUGUUGGUGGGGUAAAAGCCCACCAAGGCGACGAUCAGUAGCUGGUCUGAGAGGACGAUCAGCCACACUGGGACUGAGACACGGCCCAGACUCCUACGGGAGGCAGCAGUGGGGAAUUUUGGACAAUGGGGCAACCCUGAUCCAGCAAUGCCGCGUGAGUGAAGGAGGCCUUCGGGUUGUAAAGCUCUUUUGUCAGGGAAGAAACACCGGCUCUAACACAGUCUGGGAAUGACGGUACCUGAAGAAUAAGCACCGGCUAACUACGUGCCAGCCGCCGCCGUAA